ensembl:lncRNA
CUUUGGCUUAGUUCCCACGUUCACCUGGGAGCAGUUAUGUCAUAUUCCAAAUAAAAGUUUGUGAACAGAGGACAGCGGACAUGGAUUACCAGAGAUAACAAGAGAGAAUCCUCUCCCCCUGCCCCACUCAGCCUCUGCCAGGCAAGCCCUUCCUGCUGGGUCUCCUUGGUGGCAGAUAUGCAGCAGCUCUGUCUGGGGUGACAUGCCAAGCUCUUCCUUUGAUGGGGAGUAAAUGGCUCAGCCUGGACCACAAAGGCCUGCUGCAGAGCAAGUAACAGUGAGGGUGGGUGAGGAGGCUUGUCUCAGUCCCUAAUGGUUUACUUCAGGGAUCAGCCACCCUGCUGUCACCAACACUGUAAACAGCAC